ACGUCUACGAGUUUGAUCAUGGCUCAGGAUGAACGCUAGCGGCAGGCUUAAUACAUGCAAGUCGUGGGGCAGCAGGUUUGUAGCAAUACAGAUGCUGGCGACCGGCAAACGGGUGCGGAACACGUACAGAACCUUCCUUUGAGCGGGGAAUAGCCCAGAGAAAUUUGGAUUAAUACCCCAUAGUAUAAUGAAGUGGCAUCACUUUAUUAUUAAAGAUUUAUCACUCGAAGAUGGCUGUGCGGCUGAUUAGGUAGUUGGCGGGGUAAAGGCCCACCAAGCCUGCGAUCAGUAACUGGUGUGAGAGCACGACCAGUCACACGGGAACUGAGAGACGGUCCCGACUCCUACGGGGGGCAGCAGUGAGGAAUAUUGGGCAAUGGACGCAAGUCUGACCCAGCAACGCCGCGUGGAGGAUGAAGGUCUUUGGAUUGUAAACUCCUUUUGCAGGGGAAGAGAGAGGACGUUACCGAUAGAAUAAGCACCGGCUAACUUCGUG
rnacentral:rRNA from 1 species